rnacentral:rRNA from 1 species
GAGUUUGAUCAUGGCUCAGAAUAAACGCUGGCGACGUGCCUAACACAUGCAAGUCGAGCGAGGAUAGCCUUUCGGGGUGACUCCUAGCGGCGGACGGGUGAGUAAAGCGUGGGAAUCUGCCCUUUAGUAAAGAAUACUCCCGAGAAAUCGGGCUUAAUGCUGUAUAGUUCCCUAACGGGAUAAAGAUGGCCUCUUGCUAUCGCUAAAGGAUGAGCUUACGUGCUAUCAGCUAGUUGGUGGGGUAAAGGCCUACCAAGGCAAUGACGGCUAGCCGGCCUGAGAGGGUGUACGGCCACACUGGAACUUAGACACGGUCCAGACUCCUACGGGAGGCAGCAGUGGGGAAUAUUGCGCAAUGGGCGAAAGCCUGACGCAGCGACGUCGCGUGAAGGAUGACGGUUUUCGGAUUAUAAACUUCUGUUAAGUGGGAAGAAAUACUUAGCUAGUAAUACGAGCAAGGGAUGACGGUACCAUUAGAGAAAGC